UGCCCAGCAACUCCUAUCCCUACCUCCUCGUGGUACCGGCCGGAAACUAUGAGCAACCUUAGGGAAGAUGGGGUAAUCAACCCCGGUGGGAACUUUGGUCAUAGGCUGACAGGGAAGG
rnacentral:ribozyme from 1 species